rnacentral:rRNA from 1 species
GACGAACGCUGGCGGCGUGCCUAAUACAUGCAAGUUGAGCGCUGAAGGUUGGUACUUGUACCAACUGGAUGAGCAGCGAACGGGUGAGUAACGCGUGGGGAAUCUGCCUUUGAGCGGGGGACAACAUUUGGAAACGAAUGCUAAUACCGCAUAAAAACUUUAAACACAAGUUUUAAGUUUGAAAGAUGCAAUUGCAUCACUCAAAGAUGAUCCCGCGUUGUAUUAGCUAGUUGGUGAGGUAGAGGCUCACCAAGGCGAUGAUACGUAGCCGACCUGAGAGGGUGAUCGGCCACAUUGGGACUGAGACACGGCCCAAACUCCUACGGGAGGCAGCAGUAGGGAAUCUUCGGCAAUAGACGAAAGUCUGACCGAGCAACGCCGCGUGAGUGAAGAAGGCUUUCGGAUCGUAAAACUCUGUUGGUAGAGAAGAACGUUGGUGAGAGUGGAAAGCUCAUCAAGUGACGGUAACUACCCAGAAAGGGACGGCUAACUACGUG